rnacentral:lncRNA from 1 species
AUAGUUGACAAAUAAGAUAAGAUGGUGAUCCAAGAAAGUUGGGCCAAAUUGUACAACCUAUAGUGUCCCUCAUUAAUGAAGGAUUGAUGAUGCUCUGUUAAGCCAGCCUAGAACAAAGGAAGCUCUAGAAGGUACACUUUGAACCAACUAACCAUGCCACCACGCUCCACUUGGGCUUCAAGAUUCAGAAAAGAUUAUACCGUUGAAGACUGAGUUUAAUGCAAUUAUUUUAAGUUGCAAGAUGGAAUGAAGGAUUAACAGAAAAUAUUAUAACACCGACAUGUUUGAUUAUUUGAACACAACAUAUCUAAGGAUGGUGAUGCUAUCAAGGAGGCGAUGGAGUGCAAUAAUAUUCAAAUACAUGAUGAUGUAUGCACAUUCAAAACACACAAAGGUACUUUAUCAUCUCUAUGUCAUGAUCUCUCUUAGGUGCUGUGAACUUUGCUCUCGGUCUGAGUUUCCAAUUCAUUACUUCGUCG